UACGUAGGGUGCGAGCGUUAAUCGGAAUUACUGGGCGUAAAGCGUGCGCAGGCGGCUUGCUAAGACAGGUGUGAAAGCCCCGGGCUUAACCUGGGAAUUGCGCUUGUGACUGGCAGGCUGGAGUGUGGCAGAGGGAGGUGGAAUUCCACGUGUAGCAGUGAAAUGCGUAGAGAUGUGGAGGAACACCGAUGGCGAAGGCAGCCUCCUGGGCCAGCACUGACGCUCAUGCACGAAAGCGUGGGGAGCAAACAG
rnacentral:rRNA from 1 species